AUUUGAACCAGUUUUUAGGUUAAUUUCUGGGUUUACUAUCAAUGCAUCAUUCAGUUUAUUUAAAUUUGGACCACAUAUCUAACAGUGGUUUAGGACUUGAGUUUUUCUUUUUGCCAGUAAUUUUCUCUCUUUUGAUUCAAAGCUGAAGACAUGAGAUACAUUGCUUUAUGGAUAAUAGCUACUUUUUCUAACCCAUGAGGAUAAAAUGAAAUCUGAAUUCCAACUGCUCCCCACCAUGUUGUUUUUAAAUGAGCAUUACAGUUUUAGCACUGGGCUUAUAGGAUUCUAUGCCUUCUCUAACACCUGAGGGUUGGCACUGAAUUACUUUUAGAUUAUUGUCCUUGUACUGAUGUUAUUUCUCCUUUCUAUGGAGAUCUCUUGUCUUAUUGUGAUUUAUUUAAUAUUUUCCAUUUUAUCCAGAAUUUUUAGGUACUUAAAAUACAAAGUUCAUCAGUUCAGUAUUCAUGAUGCAAAACGUUGGCCUCAGAGUUUUCUGUAGUAACAUUUAGUAAAAGAAAACAAAAGAAUAUUGUCAACAUAGCUCUAAAGUAAAUAAGCCAUCACUGGGAUCCACUGGAACUGGCCAGGCUUCUUUAUGUAGCUUGAGCUUCCUCACAAUAUGGUGAAUGAGUACCAUAAGAGAAACCAGACAGAGGCUACAUUACCACUUAUGUCAUAAUUUUUCUAGUAAUUUUAUUAGAAUAUGUUCCAGUGUGCUUCUUUUGGAUCAAUUUCUCAGAUCAAAAAAGCCAGAGAAGACAGAAACCAUUAAAAUGACAGCUAGUAGAAAUAAGAAGACACCUGG
rnacentral:lncRNA from 1 species